rnacentral:rRNA from 1 species
AUUGAACGCUGGCGGCAUGCUUUACACAUGCAAGUCGAACGGCAGCGCGGGCUUCGGCCUGGCGGCGAGUGGCGAACGGGUGAGUAAUACAUCGGAACGUGCCCAGUAGUGGGGGAUAGCUCGGCGAAAGCCGGAUUAAUACCGCAUACGACCUGAGGGUGAAAGCGGGGGAUCUUCGGACCUCGCGCUAUUGGAGCGGCCGAUGGCAGAUUAGCUAGUUGGUGGGGUAAAGGCCUACCAAGGCGACGAUCUGUAGCUGGUCUGAGAGGACGACCAGCCACACUGGGACUGAGACACGGCCCAGACUCCUACGGGAGGCAGCAGUGGGGAAUUUUGGACAAUGGGCGAAAGCCUGAUCCAGCAAUGCCGCGUGUGUGAUGAAGGCCCUCGGGUUGUAAAGCACUUUUGGCGGGAACGAAAAGGACUGUGCCAAUACCACGGUUCGAUGACGGUACCCGCAGAAUAAGCACCGGCUAACUACGUG